rnacentral:lncRNA from 1 species
CGUAAUGUAGAAUCAGUGGGAGCUCUGACCUUGUUUUCUUGCAACUAGACAGUCCUGUCUGGGGGGUGAUGGGAGACACUGACAGAUCAUUCAGCAUUAGGUUUUCAUAAGGAGUGCCUAACCUAGAUCCCUCGCAUGUGCAGUUCACAGUAGGGUCCAUGCUCCUAUGAGAAUCUAGUGCUGCCACUGAUCUGACAGGAGGCGGAGCUCCAAUACAGAGUGGCUGUGAAUACAGGCUGCGCUCCUCCUGCUGGGCCACCCGGUUCCCCACAGGUAGUUGGGGACGCUGGUGUAGGGGUCUUUCCUUCCUCCUGAGGUCUGCCUCCCAUGCCUGGAUCCGGUGCCCUCUCCCUUCUCAGGACCCUGUUAUUCCCACCCUCUCCACACUUCUUCCCAUUGGCUUUCAGACACACUCCUAUUUUAGUUUCUUCUACUGGACCCUCCAACCUCCAGUUAAAGCCCAUCGCUCUCUUCCAUCUCACAGCCAAAUGCUCACAGCCAAAUGUUGUCUUUACUUUCUCUCCCUUCACUCUUAAAUUCACUUCACUCUGGUUUCUGGCCCCAUCAUUCCACUAAAGACUUCUCACCAAAGUUAACUAGAUGGAAGUCGAUCCACCAGACCUUCUCUGCUUCCUUCCCUGACCUCAGUAGAUCAAAUGCUCCCUUCAUUUGCUUUCUGAAACCUGGUGCUUUCUGGUUAUCUUUUGGCCUCUCUGGUCUCCUUGUCUCUUUUGCAUAAUCAUUCUCCUCCUAGCCAUUAAUUGGUGGGUUAUGGACUCAGCCACGUGUCUGUUCCUUUUCACAUGCUGUGCACUUUCCGCAGGUGACCCACUUCAUGCAGCUUCAAUGACCACGUGUAGACAGGUGAAAGGUUCAUACUUCUGGCCCAAAUACCUUCUUAUCUGCAACCCCAUGUGCACAGCGCCUUGACAUCUCUUCUUGGCUAUCUCUGUGGCACCUCAAACUCGGCAUAUUUAAAACUGAAUUUGUUGGGGGAAGAUGAAAAAAACCAACCUUCUCUCAAACUUGGCUCUCUUCUGGUAUUACCUAUCUCAGGUAAUACUAGACCUGAGGUAAUCCAUCCAUCUGGUUGUGAGUCAGAUGUUAUCAAGGAGUCAUCCUUGAUAACACCUCUCUCCUUCACAUUCUUGAAAUCCAACCUGUUACUAAGCCUUAGGAUUUCACUUCCCAAAUAUCUCUGAAAUUUGUCUACUUCUCUCCAUCUCCUCUUUUCCCACUUUCUGACUCAUCAUUAUCUCUGGCCAUUAUAAUCUAGUGGCUUCUUACUGUAGUCCCCUGGCAUCCAUUCUUGCCUUUUUCUAGUCCGUGUUCUACAUCACAGGCAGGGUGCCCUUUUCAAAACGCAUCUCGGUGCUUGUAUGUAACAGGUGCUUGUAUGUAAUCAGACUGCCACCUGUAUACACCAUGAAAACAUGAGAAAGCAUUUUCCAGAACACUUGGAAGUAUUCCAGAGCAGCUUAUUGCACUGAUGGACAGUUUCUAUUGAUUAGUAGCUAUCUUGGUUAUCUGAUUGAAAAAACAUAGCGUAUAUAGAGUUGGGUACUAUCUGUGGUUUCAGGCAUUGACUGGGGGUCUUGGAAUAUAUCUCCCUCAGAUAAGGGGACCCCUUACUGUAGUUCUGAGGCUCAUCUGUAUUCUAAGUGUGUAAAUAGGGAAUAUUGAAACAGGAGGUGUGUCCAAGAGAAUAAUGCCUGGCUGAUUGAAUAGCAGUGACCUGGAGAUGUGGGCCCCAGUUUCAGCUCUGCUGAGCACUCGUGUGAUUUUGUGCAAAUCGCUGGCCUCUGCGGGCUUCAGUUUCCUCAUUUAUGUCAUGGGGUGAUGCUUAUCUCAAUACUCUUUGCAGUGUUUCUGGCUCUUGUCGUUUUAUGUUUCUGUGAAUAAAGAAACUUACAGUUGCCCCUCAGUAUCCGCAGAGGAUUGAUUCCAGGACACCUCCCACCCCUUCACAGAUAGCAAAAUCUGCAAAUGCUCAAGACCCUCUUGUAAAUGGUGUAGUAUUUGCAUAUAACCUACUUACAUCCUCUGGAAUACUUUAAAUCACCUCUAGAUUACUUAUACUACCUAAUACAGUGAAAUUGUUGUUAUACUGUAUUUUUAUUUGCAUUACUUUUUAUUUUUUUAAUUAUUUUUUUAAAGACUCUUUUCAAUUAAUGACUGAUUGAAUUAGAGGGUGUGGAAUGCUCGGAUACAGAGGGACAACUGUAGUAGAUUCUUCCAGUUUGCAGAUAAAGAAACUGAGGUCCAGAGAUGUUGUGACUUCCCCCAGAGUCACACAGCUAACUGGGGCAACCCAGGGCCAUUAUCUCAUGACUCCCAGGCUUCAGUACUGGAAAAAUAAUCGUGUCAUGCUUUCCUUUCUAGAUGGUAGAAACUUUGGAAUGUGUGAUUUUGAAUACUGAGAACAGCCCAAAAAUGUCACAUAGUCCCUAUGCUAAAGCACAUGCAUUUUAUCAGUAGGGACAAGAUUGAGGGCCAUCACUUAAUUUAAAACAAAUUGUAACCCAUCUAGUGAUCUGGACUCUUGGCCUGUAGAUGAGAUACAGGAAAGCGGAUGUAAGUGUGAAGGCAACAGCCCAGUGUUGCUGAGUGCCGGGCACAGCAUGUGCCAUCAUUUCACAGCAACUAAAAUGCUGACCUUACAGGUUCAUGGUUUCAUUUUUGGUCUUCAUGAAAAGCUUGAAUUCUCUUUAGCUUCAGUUUGCAACACAAAUAAAGAAUAUAUUUGAGACUGAUUGUCACAGAAUUUUCUAAUUACCCACAUGUGGAGCGAUUUCCUAAUGUGAAAUACUUUUCUUGAUGGUAUGAGAUCAGUACCAUUGGACAUACACAGUUUAUUCAGUUGGCCUUUGGUAAAAAGAAGUUCUUUGGUAUGCAAAAAUUUUCCAAGUCACUUCUUGCAAUAUUAUAAAAUGUAUUACUUGAAUAAAAUGUUGAACUCAUGG